GACGAACGCUGGCGGCGUGCUUAACACAUGCAAGUUGAACGGAAAGGCCCUGCUUUUGUGGGGUGCUCGAGUGGCGAACGGGUGAGUAACACGUGAGUAACCUGCCCUUGACUUUGGGAUAACUUCAGGAAACUGGGGCUAAUACCGGAUAGGAGCUCCUGCUGCAUGGUGGGGGUUGGAAAGUUUCGGCGGUUGGGGAUGGACUCGCGGCUUAUCAGCUUGUUGGUGGGGUAGUGGCUUACCAAGGCUUUGACGGGUAGCCGGCCUGAGAGGGUGACCGGCCACAUUGGGACUGAGAUACGGCCCAGACUCCUACGGGAGGCAGCAGUGGGGAAUAUUGCACAAUGGGCGGAAGCCUGAUGCAGCAACGCCGCGUGCGGGAUGACGGCCUUCGGGUUGUAAACCGCUUUCACCUGUGACGAAGCGUGAGUGACGGUAAUGGGUAAAGAAGCACCGGCUAACUACGUG
rnacentral:rRNA from 1 species